rnacentral:rRNA from 1 species
AUUGAACGCUGGCGGCAUGCCUUACACAUGCAAGUCGAACGGCAGCACGGGAGCAAUCCUGGUGGCGAGUGGCGAACGGGUGAGUAAAGUAUCGGAACGUGCCCAGUCGUGGGGGAUAACGUAGCGAAAGUUACGCUAAUACCGCAUACGAUCUAUGGAUGAAAGCGGGGGAUCGCAAGACCUCGCGCGAUUGGAGCGGCCGAUAUCAGAUUAGGUAGUUGGUGGGGUAAAGGCUCACCAAGCCGACGAUCUGUAGCUGGUCUGAGAGGACGACCAGCCACACUGGGACUGAGACACGGCCCAGACUCCUACGGGAGGCAGCAGUGGGGAAUUUUAGACAAUGGGCGAAAGCCUGAUCCAGCCAUGCCGCGUGCAGGAUGAAGGCCUUCGGGUUGUAAACUGCCUUUGUACGGAACGAAAAGGUUUGGGCUAAUAAGCUGAGCUCAUGACGGUACCGUAAGAAUAAGCACCGGCUAACUACGUGCCAGCAGCCGCCGUAACAC